CCGUGAGUGACCUGCCACUUUCAGGUCAUCUUGGACGCCAAGCCAAAGUCUCACAGAAGUUGCCACUCAUGACUUGCCUGAGUACACGGCACCGAAACAAACAAUGCUGGCCUGCUUUCUUUUCCUUUCUCAUUCCACCACUCUCCACAGUCAUGUCUCCAUUCACUCAUGUAUUGUUCACUGAACAGCUAUUAACUUGGCCUUGAUACGAGACAUAAAAUAGUGAGUGGCACAUAGUCCCUAACUUCAAGUUGCUCACUGCAUCCUGGGGAAAGAUACGGUCCUCAUGAGGAGGGGGGUAUUGUUGAUGCUUGCUGGGGCCUUCCUUAGACUUCAGAUAUCGUAGGCUAUCUCUUCAAUUGUUCCUCAUAGGGAACUAAAAUAACUUUAGAUUGUAAAGACAGCUAAAAUGUCACUAGAAAACAACUUCAAUUAGAAAAUAUUUUAGGGGUGGCAAGGAGUGAGUGCGCCUCUGCCCAUCAAGGUCUCAUGGUCUUAAAGGAGACGCUACUUUGGGUGACUAAAGUCCCAUUGUCUGCCUUUAUGCCGUACUGGCAUUUUAAGGACCAGGAGAAAUCUUUGGGGCUACAUGUCCAAUGUGGAGAGUGCCCUGAAAUUCUGGACACUCCAUCUCUUAAGGGUUCUGAGGGUGUCAUACGGGCUUAUCAGGAACAAGCGUCAGAUGCUUCCCGCGACCAGCACAGGACUAGGGGAGGGGGAGCAGGGAAGCCCCCAAGAUCCAGGUUUUGGGGAGGUCAGUGCUAUAGGGGAUGGGCUUGUGUCUGGAAGCUGCCUCCUUUUGUGUUCCCAAUUGAACGGCAGAGGGUGGGGGGCUGCUCUUAAGAAGAUGAGACAGCCCAGAUGAUGGCCAAAUGGAGUCUCAGGGGCUCCUGAAGGGGGCCAAGAGGAGUUGGGGUGAGGCUAUGGUAUCAUUCAAGGGUAUCAUUCACAUGUUGCUUCCUUGUGAUUAGAAAGCCAGGUUUGAGGUAUGAUUAAAUGGUAAAUUUUGUAAUGCGUGUGUUUCAUUGCAAUUUUUUAGACAUGGCAUGGGGAGGAGAGAAGGUGUCCUCCCUUCAGCUUUGAGGAUGGAUAAGAGUGACGUGGCCAGAACCCUCUCUGCUGUCACUCUUUGUGGAGCCCCAACACAUUCUUUACAAAGAAGGAAUGCCAAAGGAGGGCAUUUUCAUCUGACUCAAAUGCCUAGAGACCUCGGGACCCUGGAGAGACAGAGACAGAGCUCCUGCACAAAGACAAAACCAUAGAGGAAAGCACUCAGAAAGGAGCAGGAUGAGGGAAUGCAAAGAAAAGGCAAAUGAGGGAAGCGUUGAAAGCCUUGAUACAAUGGCCACAAAGAAGAGCUCUUCACAAUCGAAGCUUGUUAUGUUUGCUUUGCCAUCAUCCACCAUAAAGUCUGGAAUACAACCUUCUUCCCUUUUCAGUAAACAUCUACUGAGUAAAUC
rnacentral:lncRNA from 1 species